rnacentral:rRNA from 1 species
CCUACGGGGGGCAGCAGUGGGGAAUAUUGGGCAAUGGGCGCAAGCCUGACCCAGCAACGCCGCGUGAAGGAAGAAGGCUUUCGGGUUGUAAACUUCUUUUAAGAGGGAAGAGCAGAAGACGGUACCUCUUGAAUAAGCCACGGCUAACUACGUGCCAGCAGCCGCGGUAAUACGUAGGUGGCAAGCGUUGUCCGGAUUUACUGGGUGUAAAGGGCGUGCAGCCGGGAAGACAAGUCAGAUGUGAAAUCCCGCGGCUCAACCGCGGAACUGCAUUUGAAACUGUUUUUCUUGAGUACCGGAGAGGUCAUCGGAAUUCCUGGUGUAGCGGUGAAAUGCGUAGAUAUCAGGAGGAACACCGGCGGCGAAGGCGGCCUGCUGGACCGCGACUGACGUUGAGGCUCGAAAGCGUGGGGAGCGAACAGGAUUAGAUACCCCUGUAGUC